rnacentral:lncRNA from 1 species
CCUUUUUACCCAUUUUGAAAUAUAAUAGAUGCCUUGUGUCCUGAAUUUGAUGCUCCACUUGCUUAGGACUUGAAAUAUAAUCUGAAACCAAGAGAUUUUAUCAUUUAUGUCGAUUUGGUUGGCUUCAUGUUCAAACUAAAAUGAUCAAACGAUUUUAAGUGAUAGUGGUAAAGAAAAGCUAUGAGCAAGAGACAUAAGUUAACCAUGGUAAAAGUGUCUUACACGUACUUGUAUAAAUUUACUUGAAGCAGGUGAAGGAUUUGCAUUGAUCUCUGGAACUAGCAUGGCAGCACCCCAUAUAGCAGGAAUAUCAGCGCUUAUCAAGCAGCACCACCCUCAUUGGAGCCCUGCUGC